AUGCAGAGGGAACCGGCCAGGGCUGCCAGGUCUGGGAGAGGGAGCAUGGUGAGGUCUGUGUGUGAGAAGUUCAUGAUAAAAGCACAGAUGGGAAAAAGGGAAAAUAUCUGUUCUCUUUUCCUCCCCAGAAAUCUGCUGGAAGUCUGUGGUGUGCAAUGCUGGGAGCAACAGUGUGAAUUUUUGUGUCUCUCUAGGUCUUCAGCGACUGAAAGGGGUGUAGUAGAGCUCUGCAGCUUCUGCCCACAGCUUCUGCUCAGCCAUGGUGGGAGUCGCUGCUUCCUCAAGAGUUCCCUGCUGAGAAGCUCAGAACAAAGGAGUGGUGACUGACAAGUUUUAAAUGUCACUGCUGAAAGAGUUGGCGUUACCAGACCUGUCCAGAGAAGUUGGGCUGUGGUGAGCUGGUGUCUGAGGCAACCAGGUAAAUGCAGAGCAAAUCCACACAGGCUCAUAGUGGCUAAAAAGAGCAGUGGUGCAGGUCGUGGUAGGCUCAUAAACAUGCACUCACUGGUGUGAGUUAGAGUUCAGUGUUUGUUGUUUCCAGUCAUAUUAUUCUUUUUGUGUUUUUCUUGUGGGAUUGGAAAGAAAGUGUCACUUCCAGAUGUGUGAUGAACUUGUCCAUCAUAAUAUAGCUCCUAAUGACUUUAUGGCUCCUCCUGCAAUGAUAAUUAAGUUUAUCCUCUGAUGGCACCAUCCUGCAUCAUUUGGAUGAAUACAGAAAAUUAAGGAGCAUUCUCAUACUUUUCCUGUGAGAUUAUGCAUUGAAGCAGAACUUAUUUAGGACACUAUUGACUUUUGAGGCUUGUUUUCAUUUCAGGAGAAAGAUUUGCAACAUGAUUGUGUCUUUUUGCAUGGUAACAUGCAGGAGUGGGAUGCAGAUUAGAUGUUUAAUGGAAGCCAAGAAAAUACACAUACUUUCAGACACAUAUAUGCCUCUUAUAUGACUUUCACCCAUUGCUUCAUACAACCACUAUUUACAUUUGGAGCUAGUGGUUUCUUAAAUGCUCAGAGCCCACAAUUGAGCCCAGAUUUCCAAAAGUGCUUGGCACCCAGCAGUUCUCACUGAGACAUUUUUAUGGCCAGAUAAUCAAAAUUGCUCAGCGUGGUGGAAGCUAGGGAGUUUUGAAAAUCUAGCCACUUAUUUUAAUGCCCAAGUGGAGGCUGGGUUCUUCAGGAAAGCUGGUUCAUAUAUUACAGUUCCAAUGACUCUGUAUUAAUCCUGUAAGUACAUUUUUUUUUCUCUUAUGGACAUACAGUCUAUCAUAUGUAUGCCCACUUAAAAACUUUCCCACUCAUUCUUCCAUAUAAAUUGUAAUUACAUUAGUUUCAUUGAAUUCCAGAAGUUGUUGGUACCAUAUGAAUGAAGCAAAAGUUCAAAUGAAAAUCAGAUUUAGUAAUUACAGGAUUUUUCUACAAGCAUUUUUCUUUUUGGGCUUGACUUGGAAAUGAAAUAAAGACAAGAGACGCCCAUUUCCAGGUUAGGAAGCAAACAAAACCAAAUUGUAGAGGGCGAGAGCUGCUUAGCUGAGCUGCUAUUUAUAAAGCACUUUGACAGCUGAAAAGAAAAACAUUGAGGUAACUUGUAAAGUGAAUAACUU
rnacentral:lncRNA from 13 species